rnacentral:rRNA from 1 species
GACGAACGCUGGCGGCGUGCUUAACACAUGCAAGUCGAACGGAAAGGCCCUGCUUUUGUGGGGUGCUCGAGUGGCGAACGGGUGAGUAACACGUGAGUAACCUGCCCUUGACUUUGGGAUAACUUCAGGAAACUGGGGCUAAUACCGGAUAGGAGCUCCUGCUGCAUGGUGGGGGUUGGAAAGUUUCGGCGGUUGGGUAUGGACUCGCGGCUUAUCAGCUUGUUGGUGGGGUAGUGGCUUACCAAGGCUUUGACGGGUAGCCGGCCUGAGAGGGUGACCGGCCACAUUAGGACUGAGAUACGGACCAGACUCCUACGGGAGGCAGCAGUGGGGAAUAUUGCACAAUGGGCGGAAGCCUGAGGCAGCAACGCCGCGUGCGGGAUGACGGCCUUCGGGUUGUAAACCGCUUUCGCCUGUGACGAAGCGUGAGUGACGGUAAUGGGUAAAGAAGCACCGGCUAACUACGUG